rnacentral:rRNA from 2 species
UACGGAGGGUGCAAGCGUUAUUCGGAAUUACUGGGCGUAAAGCGCACGUAGGCGGCCUUGUAAGUCAGGGGUGAAAUCCCACGGCUCAACCGUGGAACUGCCUUUGAAACUGCAGGGCUUGAAUCCUGGAGAGGGUGGCGGAAUUCCUGGUGUAGGAGUGAAAUCCGUAGAUAUCAGGAGGAACACCGGUGGCGAAGGCGGCCACCUGGACAGGUAUUGACGCUGAGGUGCGAAAGUGUGGGGAGCAAACAGG